GGGGUUGGGGAAGCACGCGGAGCCGCCUUCCCCGACCUGCUAGGGGCACACAGAGACGUGCCAGCAGCCGGGCGCUUCCAGGAGUGGCGUGGGGCCACUGGCCACGGCAUGCAGGCAGCCUGCCUUCCUGAGUCCUGCUGCACCACCAGCCGGGACUCGGGGGCAGGUUAUCAGAUAUUUGUCCUGCAUUUUGGGAGCCCUCCUGUCAUUUGGGGUCCUCUGCUACCACAUGGGUUGUUUCAUGAUUAAUCCGCUCCUGGGAAAAGGUAAGGUUUGAGACUAAACUUUAUUUAGCCUAAGAUUUUUUUUAUUUUAUUUUUUUUGAAGUUAGAUAGAGCUUUUGCUUGGGAAACUUAAAGGAAUUGUUAUUGUCUCUAAAAUGUUCUGCGUGUGGUUGGGAAGAACAAGAACUUUGUCACAGCUAGAUACUAUGAAUGUUCAUGAAACCUGUCUUGUGGAAUGCAUUACUGCUAGUAGUAUAUCUCUCUGCUCUUAUCCAUGUGCACUGAUAAUUUUUAGCUGAGAUGAAACAUUCAGAGGAACAGGAGGCUGACAGAUUUGCAGCAUAUAUUGUUUAAAGGUGUAAACAGUGACUAUCUCAUCUGACUAUAAUUCUGUAGAUGUAAUGUAAGUUUAAGCUACUAAAAAAAGUGAUAGAAUAACUCCAGGUAAGGGAGUUUCAUCAAUUUAAAUUUUCACAAUUGCAGGAAAUUAUGAGGUGGGUCAGAUAAUAAUUAUUUAAUUACACUGAGAUUCAAAAAGUUGAAGCUUUAUAACUGUUAAAACACAAGUUGUCACCAUCACCUGUCAAAGUAUACAAAGUAAAUAUCCUUAAAUCAAACUCUAAUAAGUUCUCAAGCAGCACUUUUCUUACCUUCCCUAUCUGUACAUUUCAGUUAUUAUUGAUGAAAAUCCUUUUGUUGGUUUUGUAUGUAUGGUGAAAUUGACAUUUACCAACAUUUAUUGAUUAAAAAUCUAAUCCUUCCAAGACAAAACAAAAGCAUUGGUGAAGCAAAUAUAUUGUAAGCUCUUUGAGGAAGAGGCUGUGCCUGCCUUUGUGUUUAUAUAGUGACUAGCACCAUGUGCCCCAAUCCCGAGUGGGAAUUCUGGCAACAGUGUAAUAUAUUUCAUGACAAUAUAGUGUGUCUGAGAAGUUGGCAUUAUAAAUUAUAGACACUGUCAAUUUCUGCUUACUCAUAGCACUUAAAGUUUGUGAGUGUAUGUAUAAAAUUGCCUGAAUGUUAACCUUUACAAUCCCAUUGGUUAUUUUGCUCACAUAUGGAGCUAUUGUCAUAAGAAGGAAACAAGAUCUUGUUGGGCUUCACCAUGGAUUUCCAGCAUCAAUUCUUACUCCACAAACCUACCAACAUGGCAACCAGUUCUUUGCAAGCUCUGGCUAACAACAGUUUGUCUCCUGCCCUCCCACCCCACAAUUGUCCAAACACAAUAUUUUCCCAUCUUACUUUCUAUGUACAAUUCAUAAACAUCUGCCAGUAUUUACUAUUAGUAUUAAGUGGUUGCAACUCCAUAAUUAAGUUUUAAUUCCAUAGUGAAGAAAUAAUGCAUCUCUGAUUGAGUGUUGUGGUGUUGCUGGCUCUAUGGAACCCUACGGUUUAAUUCCAGCUGAAGUUCUCUAUAGGUCUCUAGGAAUUCUUCAAUGACUCUAAUUCAAAUGGGCAAUACCAGGAGUCUACUUCUGGAGAAAUGUGUAAACCAGUUUUCAGGAGCUCUGCUGGAAAACUCAGAUCUUGGUGAAGGAACUCUUGAACAAAGGAACCUUGAAAUGGAAAAAAGAAUGCCUGCGAACUGAGGAGACACACAUUGAUUGGAGGGCCAGACCGGCAGAGGGGCAGAAGCUGUAGGGGUAAAUCCUGUCUCAUUCAACCCCAGUGCUGGGGCCCCCUGGGUAAUGUGGAGCCUACUUAAACUGGCAAGGAAAGGCUAAGUUGAGGCUACCACUAGGGUCAGGAUAACAGCUCAGGUAACUCAAAUAACACCAUUGUGACAUCAGAGAUAACUGAACCAGUCACCUCUACAGCUUCAAGCCAUUGGAACUUGUUAUGCCUCUGCUUUCUAGAUGAAAGAGCUCUUUAUCAUCAGAAAUCUUCUCCUCAAGUAGGUACUUGCAGAUGGUGAUCAAGUUACUUCUCAACCUUUUGUUUAUUAAGCUAAGUAGAUUGUGCUUCUUUAGUCUCUCACUGUAAGGCAAGUUUUCCAGUGCCCAACUCAUUCUUUUUUGAACUCUUCCAGUUUAUUGAUGUAAACCAGGGGGGUCUGAAUGAGUUUUCCCCUGCCAUCUAUUGAUGAAGUGGGGAAAAAGACUUCAGGAGCAAACCAUAUUUACAUAGACACACCUACAUUGCCUAGGAGAUCAGCAAACAGACGUGGUUGGCCAAAGUGAUUAAUUGUGGCUGUUUUGGGCAAAGGGGUGAUGAAAUGUGGUUAUCCUUAUUGUAGGACUAGAAGGCAGCAGAAUUGUACUUACUAUGCUCAUUUGGUAACUGAUGCCAACUCCAAGUGAAAGUCAAAGUCGGGGGUUGGGGGUGGGACACACAGGUGUUCCUACUUGCUGGGGCAGACUCUAUUUAAAAGAUCUUAGAUACCAUUUGAUUCUUCCCAUCCAAUGUGUAAAGACAGAUCUAGUUAGACUCAAUUAGGAGUCUGUGUUUCUUCUCAGUGAUCACUAGAGCUGAAAAGGUAAUAAACUGGUUUAGAGGCCUGAGCCUUAGACCAGGUACAGGGAUAGUGUUGCAAUGAAAGACAGCACAAAAGAGACAGCAGCAGUGAGAUUCCCCACUACGCAGUGAAACCACUAAUAGCUGAAAUCACUAAGGACUAGACUAGGUGGUGGAACUUCAGAGUAUGCAGCUAACAGCUGCUUCUGGAGAGGCAGAGUCGUCACUAACAUCUCACCCCUCUUCAGGGCUGGGGGUGAAACCACCUGAUCACACCCCUGAACUUUGCUGACCUCAGACAACAAAUUGAAUGUGCUGCAGUGGAGAGAAAAGGAGAAUGACAUGUUAAAUGGACAUUAAUAAAUCAUAAGUGAUCAUCAAUGAUCUGGAAAAAGGGAUAAACGGUGAGCUGGCAGAGUUUGCAGAUGAUACAAAAUUACUCAAGAUAGUUAAACCCAAAGCUGACUGUGAAGAGUUACAAAGUGUUCUCACAAAAUUCAGUGACUGGAGAACAAAAUGGCAGAUGAAAUCUAAUGUUGAUAAUUGCAAAGUAAUCCACAUU